AUAAUAAUAAUAAUAAUAAUAAUAAUAAUAAUAACAAAAGCAUUUUUUUUCUAAUUAUGCAAAACAAUUCAAUAAAUAAACAACAAAAUAAAAUUCCAAAAUAAAUAAAAACAUUGAUUUUUUUUUAUAUAAACGCUCACUCUUCGUCCCUCUCCCUCUCUCUUUCCCCAAGACCAAGAUCAAGAUUCCCCUCUCCCUCUCUCCCUCCCUCCUCUUUUCAUCAAUUUUCUCUCUCUCCCUUAGUGCCGUGUCUUUCUCUCCAGGAGGCAGACGUCUCUCCGGUCUCUCCUUCCCUCCCUCCCUUUCCUCCAGGAGAGAGAGAUUUCCCUCCUUUUCUCCUAAAUAAGGGAGGAAUUCUGUCAUGGACAAGCCGGUACGGUUGGCAUCCCUGGCUAUGGUGGCACUUGUGGUGGUGGCAGCCCUGACUACGAUGGCGAUGGUGGUUGAGAGUGCCUCGGUGCGAGAACGUAAACCCACAAACCACUCCAAUAACACUUCAGUCAUUGCAGUGCCUUCAGAUCUACUGGUGCGCCUACUGGAGGUGACACAAUCCCUUCAUAACUUGCUGCCGCGCCGGAGUGUAAGCGACGGAAACAUUGAGGCGACCCAAGAGACCGCUGGGCUAAAAGGUGCGUCUGGUGAGGAGCGGAUUCUUACACUUGCACUGACACAACACGCGCUGCUACAACACAGAAUGGAGGAACUUCUGACGCAAACAGGAAGGUGUCAAGCCCAGGUGGAGGCGCUGCGGGAGGACAAGGAGGAGCUGAAGAGGGAAAUUCAAGCCACGAAGGAGCGAAUGACGACAAAAAACAAAGAUUUAGGCUCGUCGACACAUGAAUUUCCCGCCAAAAGUGACCACGGUUGCAAAUGUAAACAAACUGACUCUGACGCACCCAAAAGGACUGCAAUGCUCUCUACCACUGCUACUAUCGAUACUACUACUGCAAUAACUGUCCUCACUGCUCCGCCUGGUUCUCCUGAGUCUACUACUAUCACUAAUGGCAGGAAUAGUAGCACUGGGCGGAUAGUAGACCGUGUUUCUGGUGGAGCGGUGACUGAGACUACUUCUAUUACAAUUAUUCCGACUACUACUGCUGCUACUACUAUUGCUACUACUACUACUACUGAGAGUGUGGUCGUGCUUGGAUCUGGUGUAAGGUGAUCUUGGAACCUCAGGGAAAACAACAUGCAGCAAAUGAGUUGGAAUGGCUAGAACCAGAGGAUGGGGGUGUGCGUCCAGGGAGUUGAGGAGUGCCACUGCUUCAACUGAUGUGUGGGACCUUGAGGCAGAGGGUCCACCAGGUGUGUGUGUGUGUGUGUGUGUGUGUGUGUGUGUGUGAGAAUGUUUUCCUACUUGUGGUGAAUGGUAAGGAAAAAGAGUGUGUGGUGGUGUGUGGUGUGGCCUUGUUUGUGGCAGAUGCAUUGGGGAGUGUGUGGUGGUGUGUGGUGUGACCUUGCUUGUGGCAGAUGCAUUGGGGAGUGUGUGGUGGUGUGUGGUGUGACCUUGCUUGUGGCAGAUGCACUGGGGAGUGUGUGGUGGUGUGUGGUGUGACCUUAGUAACUUAACUUCUUAGUAACUUGUUUGAUAAUGGACUCCCUUGAAAACUGAUGACAAAAAUAGAAUGCUAGGUAUAGAAAAUGCGCCCAGAUUAUUAGUAUGAAAUAUCUGGGGAUUAAUUCGCUAGCAAACUAACACUAGACAAGAAACAAGAAACGUGACACGGAAAAAGAGAAGUUUGAAAACUGUGACAGUAUGAGAGCUGCCGAGGUUUAGUAGGUGAGUGCGUGGGCGCGGCCGUGACAGUGCGUGUGUGUGCGUGG